AUUGAACGCUGGCGGCAGGCCUAACACAUGCAAGUCGGACGGUAACAGGAAGCAGCUUGCUGCUUUGCUGACGAGUGGCGGACGGGUGAGUAAUGUCUGGGAAACUGCCUGAUGGAGGGGGAUAACUACUGGAAACGGUAGCUAAUACCGCAUAACGUCUUCGGACCAAAGAGGGGGACCUUCGGGCCUCUUGCCAUCAGAUGUGCCCAGAUGGGAUUAGCUAGUUGGUGGGGUAACGGCUCACCAAGGCGACGAUCCCUAGCUGGUCUGAGAGGAUGACCAGCCACACUGGAACUGAGACACGGUCCAGACUCCUACGGGAGGCAGCAGUGGGGAAUAUUGCACAAUGGGCGCAAGCCUGAUGCAGCCAUGCCGCGUGUAUGAAGAAGGCCUUCGGGUUGUAAAGUACUUUCAGCGGGGAGGAAGGGGGAGUGGUUAAUAACCAUUUUCAUUGACGUUACCCGCAGAAGAAGCACCGGCUAACUCCGUGCCAGCCGCCGCAGUAA
rnacentral:rRNA from 1 species